AGAGAAACUCUUAACGCGGCUAGUGAAGAAACUCAACUAGCGUCGCAAGUGUAAGUUUUCUACCUGCUAUAGAGGGCUACAAGUCGCAUUCACGAAAACAAAACGGGAAAAGGAAAACCAAACAGUGACAAAGAAAUCAGAGUGUAAGACGGAAAUUUCCCCGUGAAGUCUGGAACGCAAAUAGUAGAAUUCUACUUCCUGUUUUUAUACCGCCUCGUUU